GGCUGCGCACGCUAAUCACCGCCUAGCCCCGUCCCGCGAGCAGAGCCGCUUUCAGCUUUUCGAGUCGCCCGGUUCCGCCGGCCUCUCCUGUUUCCCACGGAUGGGACCUUCCGAAGGGCGCCGAAUGGGGCUCUGGAAGGGACCACUGGGAAAGCGGGGGGGGGGGGCCCGAGCGGAGCGCCGCGCGGCUUCCUUUGGCUCGAGUACAAUAGCGGGGCUGCGGGGCGCCUACAGCUCCCAGGCUGCGGGGCUGCGGCCGGCGCCGCGCGGCAUGCCGGGACCUGUAGUCGCGGCGGGGCGGCGGCGCCCGCUCGGGCCCCCGGCCGGGAAGGCAGGGCGCCGGGGCGGGUUUUGCGUUGUUGCCCUCUUACCGAGGGUGCCGCUGAAAGGGCCGGCGGGAGGCCUCGAGCCGCGGAAGGAGGCCGAGGCGGGACGCAGGGCUCCCGGAGGCCGAGCGGCCGGCGCCGCUGCGCUGAUGUUCAUGGAGGCUAAUGUACGGAGGACAGAAGGACACAUCAAGGAACUGGGAGAGAGAUCCAGUGCUGUGCUGAGGAAGGAGGACAGACAAUUUUCCUGUUCAAAGAUAGCUUCUUAUGUCCCCACAAGAUGCAGAAACGUCUUUACCACUGAAGACAGUACAAUUUGGGAUAAGGACCCAGCAUAUGAAAGAACUAGCACAUGGAGUGUAAUUGCCAGGAAGCUGUUCAACAGCUCAAGGUUAGGCAAAGAUAGACUACUCUUCUAUAACCACCACUGAGAAGACUUUUAUUACAAUUUAAUGUGAGGAACGCCGAUAUCAGUGGGAUAUGUGAUUCCAACUGCUGGAAAUAAGAGAAGAAAUCGGGUGCUAUUUUCUAUCUCUCUGUGUGUUUUGAAACGUUUAAAAUUGGACCUAUGAGUUCCCAAAUGGAAAUACUGCUGUCCCUGGACUCCACCGUACACUUGGCAGAGCCUAUUUUGCUGCGAGUCGAAGGGCAGCUGCAGAGCUAUUGUGGACUGCGCGGAGGGAACCUCAUUUGCCUGCCUGUAACAAAGCUUCGGUGAAGGGUAUUCCCCAGGCCCCGCAGCAGCACCUCUGCAACGGAAACGCACGCAGCAGAAGGCAAGCCUGUACACAGGGCAUCGUAGGUGCUCUCAAAUCUUUGCCUACAAGUAUCAGGAAAAGCGUGAAAAAAUGGCCAGCAUGUUUAAAAGACACCAGGAAAUAGUCUGAAUAUUCACAUUUCAAAAUUUGAUUUUGAAACCAGUUAUUUGAAUAAAUAGUUUGCAGUGCCCCUUUAAAAAGAACCC
rnacentral:lncRNA from 1 species